GAGGGUAUAGAUCAUUGGUAGAGAGUGUGUUUAGCAUGCAGGAGGUCCUGGGUUCAAUCCCCAGUACCUCCA
rfam:Camelus ferus unplaced genomic scaffold scaffold2752, whole genome shotgun sequence.